rnacentral:lncRNA from 1 species
UAAAAGAAAAUCCACAAACAACUAAAAGUGACGAACCCUAGAUGGACUUGAAGGCGGCCCGUUGAUAUUUGAAGUGAAAUGAUCAUAGACUCGAGACGAGGAAGACCCAAAGACAAACCAUUAUCAAUUUGGUCUUGAUUGGACGAGCUUGAGACUUGGCUGCCAAUUUCGAUUUGAUUUUUGAAGCUUUUGGUUGAUAUUCGAUGGCUAAUGUUUGCAUAUUUAGAAUGAGGGGGUCAAAGUAGUUCAGGGGUGUGAUCUUGGGAGGGAUUGAAGGUGGCACCGCCACCGGCGGCUUGGGAAUUUAGGGCGGCGUUCAUUAAGGUUCAUAAGGGGGGGAGGUCUGAGAAGAAG